UGGGGGAUAUUGCACAAUGGGCGAAAGCCUGAUGCAGCGACGCCGCGUGGGGGAUGAAGGCUUUCGGGUUGUAAACCUCUUUCGCUAUCGAACAAGGCCCGCUUAGGGUGGGUUGAGGGUAGGUGGAGAAGAAGCGCCGGCUAACUACGUGCCAGCAGCCGCGGUAAUACGUAGGGCGCGAGCGUUGUCCGGAAUUAUUGGGCGUAAAGGGCUUGUAGGCGGCUUGUUGCGCCUGCUGUGAAAACGCGGGGCUUAACUUCGCGCGUGCAGUGGGUGCGGGCAGGCUUGAGCGUGGUAGUGGUGACUGGAAUUCCAGGGGUAGCGGUGGAAUGCGGAGAUAUCUGGGGGAACACCGAUGGCGAAGGCAGGUCACUGGGCCAUUACUGACGCUGAGGAGCGAAAGCAUGGGUAGCGAACAGG
rnacentral:rRNA from 1 species